AUGGAUCCAUAGGUCCAUGUGUGUAUAUAGAUCCUGUUCAUGGAUUAACGAAAAUGUGCAAGAAUUCUAUUUGCCUCCGCCAUUCUCUGAGUCUCUUCCUUUUUGCGUAUGGCAUCACCACUCCCUUUGGCAGCAUCCACUAAUUCGGAACUUAAUUUGAAAGCCAUAUUUCGACCCGGACGUUUUCGGGAUGCCGCUAAUAA